rnacentral:rRNA from 1 species
AUGUGGACGGGCUCCCCGUACUCCUUCGCCGUCCUCGAACGCCUCCUCCAAGAUCACUUCUCCGCCCCUCGCCGCCUCCUCCAGGUCCAUGCCCUCCUCCUCACCUCCGGCGCGCUCUCCACCUCCCACGCUGCCGCCACCUUCCCCUACAACUGCCUCAUCCAUGCCCACCUCCGCCUCCCCGCUUCCACCGUUACCCCGCUAUGCGGCCCCCUCCGCCUCUUCUCGACCAUGCUCGCCGCCGGCGCGCGCCCCAACGGCCACACGUUCCCUUCCCUCCUCAGGUCCGCCUCCGCCUCCGGACCAGCCACCAGGGCCCUCCACGCGCAGUGCCUCCGCCGCGGGCUUACGGCCGACCGCUUCGUUGCAUGCUCGCUCGUCAGCUCCUAUGGCCGAGCUGGCCGUCUCGCGCAUGACGCUUCUAAGGUGUUUGACGAAAUGGCCAGCCCGGAUCUCGCCUCCUCUAACGCCAUGCUUGAUGUGCUGUGUCUCGCUGGGGACGUGGCUGCGGCUAGAGUGUUCUUUGAGCGGAUGGUGGUGAGGGAUGUGGUAUCAUGGACGACGCUCAUCUCUGGGUUAUCGAGGAAUGGGUGCCACUGGGAUGCUGUCGAGAUCUUCAGGGGAUUUUUGGUGGACAACAGGGGACUGCUCGGUGAGGCCACGUUGGUCAGCGUGCUCUCGGCUUGUGCAAACUUGGAUGGUGCUGAGGGGCUUGUGGUCGGGACGGCUGUUCACGCUUAUGUCGUUCGCCAUGAGGUUGACCUCACAGCGUUCUUGGGCACGGCGUUGAUCGACAUGUAUGGGAAGUAUGGGAAGCUUGACUGUUGUAGGAGAGCUUUUCAUGCUGUAUCUGAGAAGGAGGUCUGUACGUGGAAUGCGCUGCUGUCUGCACUGGCUAAUCAUGGGAAAGAGACUGAAGCACUGGUUAAGCUCAACAUGAUGAUAGUUGGAGGGUUCUUGCCAAAUCAGAUUACAUUUCUUGCUCUACUGACAGGUUGUGCUCGAGCAGGAUUGGUGGAGAUUGGGUUAUACUGGUUCGAGACGAUGGUGACUGAAUACAAGGUGACUCCGAUGAUGGCCCAUUUUGGAUGUGUUGUGGACCUGUUAGGCCGUGCUGGCCGUUUCAUGGAGGCCAUUGAGAGGAUAGAGCGGAUGCCCUUUUUGCCUGAUGCUUCUGUGUGGGGCGCGCUUCUUGGUGCUUGCAAGCUCCAUGGAAAUGUGGAGCUUGUUGCUGAGAUUGGGCGAAAUCUAGUGGCUCUUGGUCCUCAGCAAUCCGACCGGUAUGUGACUAUCAGGAAUAUUUAUCUAGAAAAUGGGAAUUGGUGUGCUGCGACGAGAAUGGGUGAGGUGAUGCAUGACGCCGGGAUCAAGAAGACAGCAGGACAAAGUAGUGUUGUGUUUGACAGCUCUGCCAUUACUUGA